GACGAACGCUGGCGGCGUGCUUAACACAUGCAAGUCGAACGGUAAGGCCCUUCGGGGUACACGAGUGGCGAACGGGUGAGUAACACGUGGGGGAUCUGCCCUGCACUUCGGGAUAAGCCUGGGAAACUGGGGCUAAUACCGGAUAGGACCACUGCCUGCAUGGGUGGGGGUGGAAAGCUUUUGCGGUGUGGGAUGGCCCCGCGGCCUAUCAGCUGGUUGGUGGGGUGAUGGCCUACCAAGGCGACGACGGGUAGCCGGCCUGAGAGGGUGACCGGCCACACUGGGACUGAGAUACGGCCCAGACUCCUACGGGAGGCAGCAGUGGGGAAUAUUGCACAAUGGGCGCAAGCCUGAUGCAGCGACGCCGCGUGAGGGAUGACGGCCUUCGGGUUGUAAACCUCUUUCAGCACCGACGAAGCGCAAGUGACGGUAGGUGCAGAAGAAGGACCGGCCAACUACGUGCCAGCCGCCGCCGUAAAAC
rnacentral:rRNA from 1 species